UUGAACUGAAGAGUUUGAUCCUGGCUCAGAUUGAACGCUGGCGGCAUGCCUUACACAUGCAAGUCGAACGGCAGCACGGGAGCAA
rnacentral:rRNA from 1 species